CCCUUAGAUGUUCUGGGCCGCACGCGUGCUACACUGAGUAAUUCAAUGGGUAAGGGAACGCUAGAGCAUUACCUAAUCUUGAAAUUUGCUCGUGACGGGGAUCGACGGUUGCAAUUUUCCGUCGUGAACGAGGAAUACCUUGUAGGCGCAUGUCAUCAUCAUGCGCCGAAUACGUCCCUGCCCUUUGUACACACCGCCCGUCGCUCCUACCGAUUGAGUGAUCCGGUGAGGCUCUGGGACCUGGACGGAAAGAGCGUUUCGCUUGUUCUGUUUGGGAAACUUGGUCGAACCUUAUCAUUUAGAGGAAGGAGAAGUCGUAACA
rnacentral:rRNA from 1 species